GUGUCAGAGUCAGUGUCAGAGUCAGUGUCAGUUAGUGUCAGAGUCAGUGUCAGAGUCAGUGUCAGUGUGCUGCUCUAGCUCUUACUCUUCACUGUGUCCAUAACUCUACUCUUUAACACAUAUUAAUGACAAACAUGUAGCAUUUCACUGCAAAGACACUUUUGCUACUAACUGUAUAAAAUCCCAGCCAUAGAAGCUGAAGGCUGAUAACACACUCACUGGGUCUUAUCAGCUCUCUGCAGCUCCGCUGAGGAACAUUUCAUUAUUACAAGCUUCUUCUGCGGGAACUGAGACAGAGCUGAGACAGAGAUAGAAAGACAAAGAUAAAGACAGACGUCCAUCUGGACGAGGACAAAGUGCACUAUUCACACACUGCAUGACUCUGAUCAGCGAGAUUUGCAUCAUCCUAUCACACAUUUAACUUGCAAAAACAAACCAUUUCCACACACUACAAAUACCACAAAGAAAAAAUCUCUGUACAUUCUCGAUAAAAAGUGUGUAGAAAUCUUACAUGAGGAAGACUGUGUAAAGUGAUGAUGCUUAAACACUCUGAAGUGUGUGGUUAUGUUAGUGUGUGGGUGUGAGAUUGUGAGUGGGUGAGUGUGAGUGUGUGAGUUUGCAAGUGUUUGACUAUGUGAGUUUGUGUGUGUGUGUGUGUGUGUGUGU